rnacentral:rRNA from 1 species
AUUGAACGCUGGCGGCAGGCCUAACACAUGCAAGUCGAACGAGUGGCGGACUGGUGAGUAAUGUCUUGGAAACUGCCUGAUGGAGGGGGCUAACUACUGGAAACGUUAGCUAAUCCCGCAUACCAUCAGAUGUGCCCAGAUGGGAUUAGCUGGUUGGUGGGGUAACGGCUCACCAAGGCGACGAUCCCUAGCUGGCCUGAGAGGAUGACCAGCCACACUGGAACUGAGACACGGUCCAGACUCCUACGGGAGGCAGCAGUGGGGAAUAUUGCACAAUGGGCGAAAGCCUGAUGCAGCAAGGCCGCGUGGGUGAAGAAGGCCUUCGGGUUGUAAAGUACUUUCAGCGGGGAGGCGUUACCCAAAGAAGAAGCACCGGCUAACUCCGUGCCAGCAGCCGCGGUAAUAC